rnacentral:rRNA from 1 species
UGCCAGCCGCCGCGGUAAUACGGAAGGUGCAAACGUUACCCGGAAUCAUUGGGCGUAAAGCGUCCGCAGGCGGCGCAGUAAGUCAGUAAUUAAAUCUUGGGGCCCAACUCCAAGCUCGUUACAGAAACUGCUGUGCUAGAGGAAUGGAGAGGUGAGUGGAAUUCUGAAUGUAGGGGUAAAAUCCGUAGAUAUUCAGAGGAACACCAAAAGCGAAGGCAGCUCACUGGCCAUUUCCUGACGCUCAUGGACGAAAGCGUAGGUAGCAAACGGGAUUAGAUA